rnacentral:tRNA from 1 species
GGGGCCGUAGCUCAGUCGGGAGAGCGCUUGCAUGGCAUGCAAGAGGUCGGGGGUUCGAUCCCCCCUGGCUCCACCA